CGCCAUCUUGGUUUUAAAAGUUUCCCAAAAUUUGCGAAGACAAAUAACAGAAUUUUACUACAUUUUUGUCUAUGUUACGAGCCAAAACAUUGCCAAAUAUAAAGACAGAUGACAUGGUAAGUGUAAUGUCGUAUUUAAUAACUGUUAUUUGAAUUAUUAUUAUAUAAAAUGUGCACAUGUAUCUGACUCAGGAGUGAGCACUGAGCAUUCAAACCCGUCAUCUAUAAUAAUAUUAAUAUAAAAGUAAUAAAACUGAUUGAAAGUGACUGCUUUCGUUCUUUGAAUGAUGGCCUGCCUGUUCACAACUCAUUAAUAUAUGUAUGCAAAAUUGUAAAGCACUCUGUUUGAAUUUUCAAGGAAGAAUUUGUCAAUUUGAGUAUUUGUAAACAGUUUUUCGCCUCUGGUACUUUUGCAUAUUUCCACAUUAAAGACAUUUCACUGCAAGUGCACAUAGUCCAUGUAUCUGUAAUUUUAAACUUCAUACUGUUUUGUACACAUGCAGCUGUUGCAGUGUUUCAGGUAUACCAUGCUAGUCACUACAAGUUCCCUUUCUGAUAUAAAGAGUCGUGAUGUACUGGUACCGUAAACUUACGACUAUAAGCCGCCCCCCGAAUAUAAGCCCCCCCCCAUGUAUAAGCCCAUCACAUGUACUAAAGCUCACCUCAUCCCAAAUAUAAGCCCACCCUGAAUAUAAGCCCCCCCCCGAAUAUAAGUCCCCCAAAUUGAUAUAAGCCCAGUAAUUGCUGCUUAAUACAUUUUUAAUUUCCUGUUUAUGACUGACUUGUAUAUGUUUGGCUUGUUUAUUACUAACACUAACACAAAAGAUCAUCCAUGUAUAAGCCCCCCCCCCUUGUAUAAGCCCAUCAAAAAUCGCUUAUGAAAGUAUUUAAAUUAAGCCAGGUUUUAUAGUCGGAGGUUUACAGUAUAUGUAUACAGUAUAUUAAAGUAAUUGGAAACCAAAAUUUCAUGGGAUAUAGGUAACAAUUGCAAGUGGAAUUAAUAGUUGAAACAACCUACUUUCCCUCAUGCAUAUAACUUGAUGUGGUAUGAGGGUCGCUAAGCCCGGGCUGGUCUAACCUGAGAUUGGGCUGUAUUAUACGGAUAAUAACCUGACACAAAUAUUAAUCCAAUCACUUUCCACCCCCAACAAAGUUUAUAUUUAGUAUCCAAUCAAAAUGUCACAGGAGAAAUUAAAAUUUCGCACAACGACAACAACAAUCUGAUUAUAGUUGUGAUCACUAUAAAAUAUAUCAACAACAACAGUAUAAUCUAAUUAACACCAACCAAUCAAAUAACAGAUUGAAAAAUCUUUUGUCUCGUAGACCAACCAGAUUUACAACUGAAAUACGGCUGUAAGGCAUGGACUUUGUUUAGGUUUGUUUCAGGCCUAUUUAUUUAUUUAUAGGCCGGAUGGCAGGUUAGGGCCUGACCAACAACUGAGGUAGGAUGCAUCAUCACUAUGGAAUCCAGACAGGCAUGUCAAUUUUUGGAAAUCAAAGUUGUCUAUAAAGUCAUAAAGACCCAAUACUUUAUUUCACAAAGAACUGCCUCCCCCAAUACCCCCAAGUAAAUCCAUCCCACUGCUACACAAAAGAAUACUUCUUUCCCUCUAGUUAAUUAACAAUGAAAGUAUAUUUUUUACAGAUCUCUGCAAUAUUACUUUUACAACCUUGAAGAUAUGAUUAUGAUGACAAAUGUUGGUACAUUGCAGAGUAUUUUGUACAUCCUAUAAACUUUUUGUAAUAUCCACACAAUAGAUAAAUUUGUAUCAUAAUUAAAUUUGUAUCACAAUCUGUAAUUUAAUAAAUAUUCAUUUCAUCUUGUUUCGUUUCAUGUUUUC